ensembl:snRNA U6 U6 spliceosomal RNA
GUGCUCUCUUCAGCAGCACAUAUACUAAAAUUGAAAUGACACAGAGAAGAUUAGCAUGGCCCCUGCGCGAGGAUGACAUGAAAAUUGGUGAAGCAUUCCGUAUUUUU